rnacentral:rRNA from 1 species
GAUGAACGCUGGCGGCGUGCCUAAUACAUACAAGUCGAGCGAACAGACGAGGAGCUUGCUCCUCUGACGUUAGCGGCGGACGGGUGAGUAACACGUGGAUAACCUACCUAUAAGACUGGGAUAACUUCGGGAAACCGGAGCUAAUACCGGAUAAUAUAUUGAACCGCAUGGUUCAAUAGUGAAAGACGGUUUUGCUGUCACUUAUAGAUGGAUCCGCGCCGCAUUAGCUAGUUGGUAAGGUAACGGCUUACCAAGGCAACGAUGCGUAGCCGACCUGAGAGGGUGAUCGGCCACACUGGAACUGAGACACGGUCCAGACUCCUACGGGAGGCAGCAGUAGGGAAUCUUCCGCAAUGGGCGAAAGCUUGACGGAGCAACGCCGCGUGAGUGAUGAAGGUCUUCGGAUCGUAAAACUCUGUUAUUAGGGAAGAACAAAUGUGUAAGUAACUAUGCACGUCUUGACGGUACCUAAUCAGAAAGCCACGGCUAACUACGUG